rnacentral:rRNA from 1 species
UACGUAGGUGACAAGCGUUGUCCGGAUUUACUGGGCGUAAAGAGCGCGCAGGCGGUCGUUCAAGUCGAGUGUGAAAGCCCCCGGCUCAACUGGGGAGGGUCAUUCGAUACUGAUCGACUCGAAGGCAGGAGAGGGUAGUGGAAUUCCCGGUGUAGUGGUGAAAUGCGUAGAUAUCGGGAGGAACACCAGUGGCGAAGGCGACUACCUGGCCUGUUCUUGACGCUGAGGCGCGAAAGCUAGGGGAGCAAGCGGG